GGUUGGCUGGGCUGCCCAAAGUAGUGCAAGACAGAGCCUAAAUCCAAGUGAUGGCUGCUACAGUGGGAUGAGUGCCUUUGGUGGAUGUUUAUUGCUGAAUGCCACGGUGUGAGUGUCCUGUACAGCCCCAGGGAAUGCACCUCACCUGUUUAAUUCUAGAUAGACAAUGAGCAGGGUCCACCUUGCUGCCCUCCUGGCUCAUAUAUACAAAAACACCACUGGUUAAACCACCAGCAGCCUAGCACAGGGCCUGACAGAGCAGAGAGCAGGUGCUGUUUAAGAAUAAUCUGUGUGUGUGUGUGUGUGUCCCAUUGAUGGGGAAGGUACUUUGGGGUGACAGAUGAAGCUGUAUUCUCAGCUCUGCAAGCAUCUCUUUGCCAGCCUCUCCUUCAUGGGCCGCUCCAAUUGUGGUGGAGGGCUGCUGUGAGCUCAAUUUCCACGCAGGAGUUUGCAGAAAUAUGUUUUAUUGCAGUUUCUUGAAGGUCAACAAACCCUAUUGAACACACCGGAAUGACAAAGCAAAUUUCCCAGAGAGCCACCAAGCAGGCACACUGGACUGGGAAGAUGAAAAGAACAGCAUAAGAAAACAGUGGAAAAAACAGAGAAGCAGUUUGAAUUUUCCCUGAGGGAUGACUUGGGAAGAGAAUCAUCACCGCCAUAAACCGGUUCAACAGGAAGGAAAGCUCCUGGCGGAAAAGUUACGCCUACUUGAUACUGAAAGCACAUAGGUCACCUGAAAAUGUCUGUGAGCAGGAAGGCACAGGAGGCUCUAUAUCCUUCUAAAAA